UACAGAGGUCUCAAGCGUUGUUCGGAUUCAUUGGGCGUAAAGGGUGUGUAGGUGGCGCCGUAAGUCGGGUGUGAAAUCUCGGGGCUUAACUCCGAAACUGCAUUCGAUACUGCGGUGCUUGAGGACUGGAGAGGAGACUGGAAUUCAUGGUGUAGCAGUGAAAUGCGUAGAGAUCAUGAGGAAGACCAGUGGCGAAGGCGGGUCUCUGGACAGUUCCUGACACUGAGACACGAAAGCAUGGGGAGCAAACAGG
rnacentral:rRNA from 1 species